UGGGGAAUUUUCCGCAAUGGGCGGAAGCCUGACGGAGCAAGACCGCGAGGGGGAUGACGGCCUAAAGGUUGUAAACCCCUUUACUCUGGGAAGAUGAUGACGGUACCAGAGGAAUCAGCCUCGGCUAACUCCGUGCCAGCAGCCGCGGUAAUACGGAGGAGGCAAGCGUUAUCCGGAAUUAUUGGGCGUAAAGCGUCCGUAGGUGGUUGUUCAAGUCUGCUGUCAAAGCGUGGGGCUCAACUCCAUAGAGGCAGUGGAAACUGGGUAACUAGAGUGCGGUAGGGGUCGAGGGAAUUCCCAGUGUAGCGGUGAAAUGCGUAG
rnacentral:rRNA from 1 species